UACAUGUGGGGCAAGCGUUGUUCGGAAUUACUGGGCAUAAAGGGUGCGUAGGCGGCUUGUUAAGUCACUGGUAAAAGUUUUCGGCCCAACCGGGAAAUGGCCUGUGAUACUGGCGAGCUCGAGUGCGCGAGGGGUGGGGGGAACGAGCAGUGUAGCGGUGAAAUGCGUAGAUAUUGCUCGGAAGGCCGGAGCCGAAGGGGCCCCACUGGUACGCAACUGACGCUGAGGCACGAAAGCGUGGGGAGCAAACAGG
rnacentral:rRNA from 1 species